rnacentral:misc_RNA from 1 species
GUUGGAGGGGCAAAGUAGCGUAGCAGGAUUGCAGGACGAAGUGUUGUGUAUAGCAGUGUACGAAAAACGCCUGUGAGGUAGGUUUGUGAGUGAACGUGCAUCGAAAUUGGAAUACCGAUUUCAACGACAGCUCAUCAUGGGAGGCAUAACUCAACGUCCAUGGACUCCUACUAAACGACGAGGCCCCAUUGCAGCCGAGUUCAGAGGACCAGGACCUGCAUGCGUAGCACUACCCUCAUACAUAGGAAAGAGAACAUCAGAAUCUAAGACGGAAAGAGCCCCAGCUUUCAGUUUUGGAGCGAGACAUAACGGAAAACUAGAAAGCAUAGGUCCAGGACCAGGUCAAUAUAAUGUUACAGGAUUGAGUGCAAAAGGGAAAGAUACGCCACCAGCUUUAAGCCUCCAUGGUAGACCCAAGGAACCCAAACCCGAGAAUUUCCCAGCUCCUGGAGACUACAAUCCUGACAAAGCUGAAAAAGUAAUUCACGAUAACGCACCAAAAUAUACUUUUGGCUUGAAAACCAAUGUUGAGAAGCCUUUAGGUACACCAGCACCAAACGUAUACGAUGUUCCAAAAGCAGAUAAACUAUUGCUAGAUAAAUCACCGAGAUAUAGUUUUGGGGUAAAACCAGACCUUGUGAAAUCCUUCGACACCCCUGCACCCAACGUUUACAAUGUUCCAACAGCAGAUAAGGUUUUACACGAAAACUCACCAAAAUUCAGCUUUGGAGCCAAGGUCCAAGUGGAAAAACCUUUGGAAACACCCGCCCCCAAUGUAUACAACAUUCCAUCGGCCGUUGGCGAAAAGUCCGGCCCUGCCUAUACGAUCUCGGGAAGGACAAAGGAACCAGUUGACGAACGUGUGAAGAAUCCUGCUCCAGGACAAUACAACUUAGUGAAUCCUGAAAAUUAUAAAACUCAUUCUCCUGCUUAUACUAUCAGUGGAAGAGUGAAUAUUCCAAGUAAUGACAAUAUUCCAGGACCAGGGGUGUACUCGCCAGAGAAGGUAAACUGUCAUCUGAGACACGCUCCAAGCCAUUCUUUCGGCAUAAGGCAUUCCCCGUAUCUAGGCACGCAGAAUUCGUGCCUUCGGAGAGAAAAAACGUCUCUUUUAUUUUAAGGACUACCUAACCUACUUCUAACUAAAAUAUGAAACUAACAUUUUUUUGUCAAUGGAAAAUAUGCAGGUUGAAAUUGAUAUUUCUCCAGCCCACAGCUUUGGAAUUAGACACUCUCCUUUUUCUGACCAUUAUUAGGAAGAAACAAGGAAAACGAUGACGAACUCGACUGCAUUCCUGUCUGCCAUCCAUGUGUGGAGUGCAGAACUUCCAUCAUUUCAACAAAAUUGUCUUUUACCGGUCAACUUUUUCCAUAGAUGAGAUUAACCACGCCAUAAUCAAAACUGACAAUGAAAGAUAGUUUUCCAAAUCAUUUCGUCCCCACAGAUAUUUGAAUAACUCAUGCAUUAUUUAUUCUAGACACUACUGACAUUCAAACUCCAGACAAAAAACUAAAGGUUUUUUCCUUAAGAAUUGCGUUGCCAAUUAUGCCAUACGAAUAGCUUGUAUUAAUCUCAAAACGCGGUUUUUAUAAUUGAAAUCACUUUUGUUUGUUGUAUAUUAACAUUUUUAUAUCAUGUUUUUCAAAUAAACUUUUUAUAUUAG